rfam:Triticum aestivum genome assembly, contig: Triticum_aestivum_CS42_TGACv1_scaffold_210572_3AS
CAACUACUCCCUCGGUCCCAAAUUUCUUCUUAGAUUUUUUCUAGAUACGGAUGUAUAUAAUACUAAAAUGUGACUUGAUACAUCCGUAUCUAGACAAAUCUAAGACAAGAAUUUUGGGACGGAGGGAGUACUUU